AAAAAUAUAUCGUUAUCUCGAGAAAACGAAACUCUUAUAUUGAGAUCUCGGAUUAUUAUAUCCCUAACUAUUUUUAACCGAAAUUCCUUUGUUCAAUGUAUGGACGACCUGACUUCCAAAACAUAUCUAAAGAUAAGUAUUAAAAUACUCAACGUUAUCUUUUUUUUUAUUUUCACGUUACCUUUGCUGUUAUUAUACCUCAUUCGAAAGCCUAUUAAUAGAGGAACAAAAGUUAUAUAGUCAAUAUGUUCCGCAACGCAUAUAAGAGGAGUAACGAAGGACCUAAAAAUAGAAAUACGGGUGAACAUUAUGAAAAAGCUUAUUUUAAAUAAUGGAGUGAACUUCUGCGACCCGUCAGCCCAUAAUUAAGGAAAACAAAUGUAUAUACCAUUUGAAAGCUUAUUAAUAGAGAAACAAAAUGGUUAUAAAUAAUAUGUGCCGCAAUGACCAUUAGAGUGGGUUUACGAAGGAUCUAAAUGCCAAAAUACGCGUGAACGUUAAGAAAUAGCCAAUUUUGAAUAAUGGAAUGG
rnacentral:lncRNA from 1 species